rnacentral:misc_RNA from 1 species
GAUGAAGAACGUAGCGAAAUGCGAUAAGUAAUGUGAAUUGCAGAAUUCAGUGAAUCAUCGAAUCUUUGAACGCACAUUGCGCCCGCCAGUAUUCUGGCGGGCAUGCCUGUUCGAGCGUCAUUACAACCCUCAGGCCCCCGGGCCUGGCGUUGGGGAUCGGCGGAGCCCCCCGUGGGCACACGCCGUCCCCCAAAUACAGUGGCGGUCCCGCCGCAGCUUCCAUCGCGUAGUAGCUAACACCUCGCGACUGGAGAGCGGCGCGGCCACGCCGUAAAACACCCAACUCUUCUGAAGUUGACCUCGAAUCAGGUAGGAAUUCCCGCUGAACUUAAGCAUAUCAAUAAGCGGAGGA